rnacentral:piRNA from 1 species
AAAUGCAGUGUGGAACACAAUGAACUGAAC